AGGCUUUGGUAUCAGAAUAAUGCUGGCCUCACAGAAUGAGGUUUGAAUCCUCGGUGAACCAGGGCAGAAAAGAAUGAUGAAAUCCUUGAGAGUUUUACUGAUGAUCCUGUGGCUUCAGUUAAGCUGGGUUUGGUGCCAGCAGAAGGAGGUGGAGCAGAAUCCUGGACCACUCAGUGUUCCAGAGGGAGCCAUUGCCUCUCUCAACUGCACUUACAGCAACAGUGCUUUUCAAUACUUCAUGUGGUACAGACAGUAUUCCAGAAAAGGCCCUGAGUUGCUGAUAUACAUAUACUCCAGUGGUAACAAACAAGAUGGAAGGUUUACAGCACAGGUUGAUACAUCCGGCAAGUAUAUGUCCUUGUUCAUCAGAGACUCACAGCCCAGUGAUUCAGCCACCUACCUCUGUGCGAUGAGUGCACAGUGCUCCCCAGACACCUGCAGUCUGUACCCAAACCUGCUGGGCCCCAGGAAUGCCUGAUGUAGAGCUUAGACUG